AUUGAACGCUGGCGGCAGGCCUAACACAUGCAAGUCGAACGAGUGGCGGACGGGUGGGUAAUGUCUGGGAAACUGCCUGAUGGAGGGGGCUGACUACUGGAAACGGUAGCUAAUGCCGCAUAACAUCAGAUGUGCUCAGAUGGGAUUAGCUUGUUGGUGGGGUAACGGCUCACCAAGGCGACGAUCCCUAGCGGGGCUGAGAGGAUGACCAGCCACACUGGAACUGAGACACGGUCCAGACUCCUACGGGAGGCAGCAGUAGGGAAUAUUGCACAAUGGGCGAAAGCCUGAUGCAGCCAUGCCGCGUGAAUGAAGAAGGCCUUCGGGUUGUAAAACACUGUCAGCGGGGAGGCGUUACCCGAAGAAGAAGCACCGGCUAACUCCGUGCCAGCAGCCGCGGUAAUAC
rnacentral:rRNA from 1 species